CUUAUACUUUUUUAGCAACAUGAUUGAGCAUAGAAUAUUUUAUGCGACGUUGCCACGUUCGCGUUACUGAAAAUUUGUAAUUUAUUAUUUUGACGUAUUGUUUUUACCAACACCUAAUAUUAUGAUGAUACCAAAUUUAAACGAGCCACGACCUAUAAGCCGAAUCCAGCUAUAUCAACAAUGUUAUCGAUAGCAAUAAAUGUAAGUUUUAUCCGAAAUAUACUGAUAUAUUAUAGAUGGUUAUAGACAUAUAGUAGUGAGUGUUUGAUCGCCUAUAGUCGUGUCACAUUGUGCGUUAAUUAUUACUAUUAUCAAACAUGUAAAUUAACAUAUGACACAUAUUAUAUAUUAACAUAUAUCGUGUUAUUUUAUAAAUCAUAUUAUAUAUUGUAAUUUUUAUUAUUAUAAUUAUUUAAAUUAAUAUUUUUUUUGUAUAAUAUAGUUCAAAAUUUAAAAUGGCAAUAUCGCAGUUUUAUUAUGGUUAUUCGUGUAGGUUUUCUUCUGUAUUUCUAUUCGCCAAACAAUUUGCUCAAUCGUGUCAUAACCCAUUAAGUAAAUGUUUUUAUUAUUGUUAUUUUAGAUCCUGAGCGGAGCGAGGAAUGUGUUGGUUUUAUAAUGAUGUUUAUUUAUUUUUUUAAGACAACUUUUCUACCAGUAAUUUUGCUUCGAUUUUCAAUGAUUUCUGAAAGGAAAUUGGACUGGGGAAGCACUUUAAGGAAGUCAUUUUUUGAUCUCCGCAGAAGUUUUCUCAAUAAAUGAGAAAAACCGGGAAAACCUUUAGAAAACAGGAAAAUAGGUACAAUAUUAUACAAAUAUUAUUAAUGAAAAUAUAUAAUUCAUUUUAUAUAAUUAUUUUUCCAUAACAUGACAUAUAUAUUGUAGACAAAGAAACACUAUCAACUGAACUCUGCUCAGAAUCUUUUUUUCGUUAGCAAUGGUUUAUUGUUUCUUAUAGAUAUACAUUAAAUUACCUAAAACAGUGAUAAUUUGAUAAUUGAUAAUUUAAUCUUAAAUAAAAAAGGGAAUCCCGUCCACCUCACUUUAACCACUGUUUCUAUGUAUCAACCUGUUAUUUAAAUACUGAGUUUUCUGAUUAUGCUC